CCAGCUCCUCUUCCUCCAGUCUGUCAAACUUAAUUUCCUUAAUUGUUGUUUCACGCUAACAAUUUUCUCAGUGAUUGUGUUCAUGAUCGUAGAUUGCAUUGAUAAUUUGGCGAAUUUUUCUUAUUUUUUGUCGAGAGUUUUUGUCAUCGAUGAUGAGAAAUUCAAGGCCGGUUUCUCAAAAAACAUUCGCAGCGGCCGCCUGAGAACUUUCGCCUUUCGCCGGGCUUGAGAGUUUCUGCUGCUCCCAUCCUUCCUUGGAUGUCUGAGAUUGUUCCAAUACUACAUGAAUGCUGGAGGUAUUGUUUCAUCCGUGCAUCGCAGGAAAUGGAGCAGUGAAGAUGCAAAUUCCCUGCCUAUGAAGACAUGAAAGGCAGCUGAGCAAAUGCGAAUAGGAGAGAAGGAUAGGUUGAAUAGGCAAUAGAACAGAACAACUGCAACUGCAAGGGCAUUUCUCUCCAGCUGCAAAAGAGCAAAUGCGAGAGUAUCUGCUGGAACAAUUUCCAUGUCUUGGCACUUUCACCAUUCUGUUAACAAGCUACAUAUGUAAUAGAUAUCUUUCAUGAGUUGAUGAUAUUCUUUCUGAAAAGAAUUGAAUCCCUAAGCUGUCAUUAUUAUUGUAAGAACCCAUUGUUGUUAUAUUCAUGAAUUUCCAACCAUUUUCGAGAUCUCGACUUUUUUCAAGAAAUCCCACUUUGCCACCUUGUAAUUUUUUAUGAACAUGGACUGUAACAUUUGUUA